UACGGAGGGGGUUAGCGUUGUUCGGAAUUACUGGGCGUAAAGCGCGCGUAGGCGGAUUAGAAAGUUGGGGGUGAAAUCCCGGGGCUCAACCUCGGAACUGCCUCCAAAACUGCUAGUCUAGAGUUCGAGAGAGGUGAGUGGAAUUCCGAGUGUAGAGGUGAGAUUCGUAGAUAUUCGGAGGAACACCAGCGGCGAAGGCGGCUCACUGACUCGAUACUGACGCUGAGGUGCGAAAGCGUGGGGAGCAAACAGG
rnacentral:rRNA from 1 species